UACGUAGGGGGCAAGCGUUGUCCGGAAUCAUUGGGCGUAAAGCGCACGUAGGCGGCUUUGUAAGUUAGAGGUGAAAGCCUGGAGCUCAACUCCAGAACUGCCUUUAAGACUGCAUCGCUUGAAUCCAGGAGAGGUGAGUGGAAUUCCGAGUGUAGAGGUGAAAUUCGUAGAUAUUCGGAAGAACACCAGUGGCGAAGGCGACUUACUGGACACAUAUUGACGCUGAGGUGCGAAAGCGUGGGGAGCAAACAGG
rnacentral:rRNA from 1 species